GUUUGUGUGUUGCAUCUGAGCACGCUCGUGUCUCAGGUGUUUCAGUCGUGGGUUUUCUCCGGACUGUUUCAGUCCCCAGUGUUUGGGGCAUUUGUUGUGUGUGCGCCCUGUAUCUUAGUGGGGUGGCUUUUGUUCGCCGUUUGUGCAAAUAAAGCACUACCCUGUACUCUCUGCUUCCUGUGCCUGACUUCGCACCCACUACACCCAGAGCCUUACAGCCAGGUCUACUUAGUUUCAUUGUAAGUCAUGGGCCAAUGCUGAACAACAUCUUACUGAGUGUUGUGGUGGGAACAGGCUGUGUUUUAUGAAGAGGACUGCAGAAAGGAAAAUGGACUAGUACUUGACACCAAAUGGAUGUCAGAGUCUCUCGCACUCCUCUUUCUCUUCCUCUCUUCUAUCUCUCCUCCACUUGUCUAGGUCCUCCCAUCCCUAUCUUGGCGAGCAUGAGUCAGAGAUGAAUACUCAAAGGUUCAAAGCAAGCGGGAUGACUGCCGUGGAUCCUCUGUCCAAUCGUCAGCCAGUUAGUGGCGGCGGGCAUGACAGAAUGCUGACACCACAAUUUGAAGCAUCAUGGAGUUAUGGGAGCCUGAUGUUUUUUGUUUUGUUGGUGACGUCGGGUCUGGGUGCCGCUAUUGGAGGAGCCAUGGGUGCCUCAGCUGGCUCAUCGAGCUUCCAUGCCUUAGCUGGCUCGAGAGGUUUCCUUGCCUUGGUUGGCUCGGCAGGUUCCCAUCCCACGUCAUGCCUCAGCCGGCUCGUUGGGCUUCAACAACUCAGCCGGCUCAUCAGGCUCCCAUCCCAUGUCAUGUCUCAGCCAGUUCGUCGGGCUCCCACGCCUCAGCCGGCUCAUCAGGCUCCCAUCCUACGUCAUGCCUCAGCCGGCACAUCAGGCUCCCAUGCCUCGGCCGGCCCAUCAGGCUCGCCCAGGUGGGACGCCGGGUGGUGCCCCUAGAGGGGGGGGGUACUGUCAUGCCUGUUCCCGAUUCCCCUCUCUGGUGCUCAAGAGCACCAGGCUGCCCCUCAUUACACACACCCGUCACCAUCAUUACGCGCAUCUGCGCAAUAUUGGACUCACCUGGACUUUGUUGAUUGCCCCUCUAGAUCUGUCUGCUCCUCAGUUUGUUCCCUGUGUCAGCAUUAAUGUCGUUAUGUUUUCUUGUCCA
rnacentral:lncRNA from 1 species